UUAAGCGACUAAGCGUACACGGUGGAUGCCCUGGCAGUCAGAGGCGAUGAAGGGCGUGCUAAUCUGCGAUAAGCGCCGGUAAGGUGAUAUGAACCGUUAUAACCGGCGAUACCCGAAUGGGGAAACCCAGUGUGACUCGUCACACUAUCAUUAACUGAAUCCAUAGGUUAAUGAGGCGAACCGGGGGAACUGAAACAUCUAAGUACCCCGAGGAAAAGAAAUCAACCGAGAUUCCCCCAGUAGCGGCGAGCGAACGGGGAGGAGCCCAGAGCCUGAAUCAGCAUGUGUGUUAGUGGAAGCGUCUGGAAAGGCGCGCGAUACAGGGUGACAGCCCCGUACACAAAAGCGCAUGUGCUGUGAGCUCGAUGAGUAGGGCGGGACACGUGGUAUCCUGUCUGAAUAUGGGGGGACCAUCCUCCAAGGCUAAAUACUCCUGACUGACCGAUAGUGAACCAGUACCGUGAGGGAAAGGCGAAAAGAACCCCGGCGAGGGGAGUGAAAAAGAACCUGAAACCGUGUACGUACAAGCAGUGGGAGCACCCUUUUGGGUGUGACUGCGUACCUUUUGUAUAAUGGGUCAGCGACUUAUAUUCUGUAGCAAGGUUAACCGUAUAGGGGAGCCGUAGGGAAACCGAGUCUUAACCGGGCGUUAAGUUGCAGGGUAUAGACCCGAAACCCGGUGAUCUAGCCAUGGGCAGGUUGAAGGUUGGGUAACACUAACUGGAGGACCGAACCGACUAAUGUUGAAAAAUUAGCGGAUGACCUGUGGCUGGGGGUGAAAGGCCAAUCAAACCGGGAGAUAGCUGGUUCUCCCCGAAAGCUAUUUAGGUAGCGCCUCGUGAAUUCAUCUCCGGGGGUAGAGCACUGUUUCGGCUAGGGGGCCAUCCCGGCUUACCAACCCGAUGCAAACUGCGAAUACCGGAGAAUGUUAUCACGGGAGACACACGGCGGGUGCUAACGUCCGUCGUGAAGAGGGAAACAACCCAGACCGCCAGCUAAGGUCCCAAAGUCAUGGUUAAGUGGGAAACGAUGUGGGAAGGCCCAGACAGCCAGGAUGUUGGCUUAGAAGCAGCCAUCAUUUAAAGAAAGCGUAAUAGCUCACUGGUCGAGUCGGCCUGCGCGGAAGAUGUAACGGGGCUAAACCAUGCACCGAAGCUGCGGCAGCGACGCUUAUGCGUUGUUGGGUAGGGGAGCGUUCUGUAAGCCUGUGAAGGUGUGUCGUGAGGCAUGCUGGAGGUAUCAGAAGUGCGAAUGCUGACAUAAGUAACGAUAAAGCGGGUGAAAAGCCCGCUCGCCGGAAGACCAAGGGUUCCUGUCCAACGUUAAUCGGGGCAGGGUGAGUCGACCCCUAAGGCGAGGCCGAAAGGCGUAGUCGAUGGGAAACGGGUUAAUAUUCCCGUACUUGGUGUUACUGCGAAGGGGGGACGGAGAAGGCUAUGUUGGCCGGGCGACGGUUGUCCCGGUUUAAGCGUGUAGGUGUGUGUUCCAGGUAAAUCCGGUUCACUUUAACACUGAGGCGUGACGACGAGGCACUACGGUGCUGAAGCAACAAAUGCCCUGCUUCCAGGAAAAGCCUCUAAGCAUCAGGUAACAUCAAAUCGUACCCCAAACCGACACAGGUGGUCAGGUAGAGAAUACCAAGGCGCUUGAGAGAACUCGGGUGAAGGAACUAGGCAAAAUGGUGCCGUAACUUCGGGAGAAGGCACGCUGACAUGUAGGUGAAGUGAUUUACUCAUGGAGCUGAAGUCAGUCGAAGAUACCAGCUGGCUGCAACUGUUUAUUAAAAACACAGCACUGUGCAAACACGAAAGUGGACGUAUACGGUGUGACGCCUGCCCGGUGCCGGAAGGUUAAUUGAUGGGGUCAGCGCAAGCGAAGCUCCUGAUCGAAGCCCCGGUAAACGGCGGCCGUAACUAUAACGGUCCUAAGGUAGCGAAAUUCCUUGUCGGGUAAGUUCCGACCUGCACGAAUGGCGUAAUGAUGGCCAGGCUGUCUCCACCCGAGACUCAGUGAAAUUGAACUCGCUGUGAAGAUGCAGUGUACCCGCGGCAAGACGGAAAGACCCCGUGAACCUUUACUAUAGCUUGACACUGAACAUUGAGCCUUGAUGUGUAGGAUAGGUGGGAGGCUUUGAAGUGUGGACGCCAGUCUGCAUGGAGCCGACCUUGAAAUACCACCCUUUAAUGUUUGAUGUUCUAACGUGGACCCGUAAUCCGGGUUGCGGACAGUGUCUGGUGGGUAGUUUGACUGGGGCGGUCUCCUCCUAAAGAGUAACGGAGGAGCACGAAGGUUGGCUAAUCCUGGUCGGACAUCAGGAGGUUAGUGCAAUGGCAUAAGCCAGCUUGACUGCGAGCGUGACGGCGCGAGCAGGUGCGAAAGCAGGUCAUAGUGAUCCGGUGGUUCUGAAUGGAAGGGCCAUCGCUCAACGGAUAAAAGGUACUCCGGGGAUAACAGGCUGAUACCGCCCAAGAGUUCAUAUCGACGGCGGUGUUUGGCACCUCGAUGUCGGCUCAUCACAUCCUGGGGCUGAAGUAGGUCCCAAGGGUAUGGCUGUUCGCCAUUUAAAGUGGUACGCGAGCUGGGUUUAGAACGUCGUGAGACAGUUCGGUCCCUAUCUGCCGUGGGCGCUGGAGAACUGAGGGGGGCUGCUCCUAGUACGAGAGGACCGGAGUGGACGCAUCACUGGUGUUCGGGUUGUCAUGCCAAUGGCACUGCCCGGUAGCUAAAUGCGGAAGAGAUAAGUGCUGAAAGCAUCUAAGCACGAAACUUGCCCCGAGAUGAGUUCUCCCUGAGACUUAGAGUCUCCUGAAGGAACGUUGAAGACGACGACGUUGAUAGGCCGGGUGUGUAAGCGCAGCGAUGCGUUGAGCUAACCGGUACUAAUGAACCGUGAGGCUUAACCUU
rnacentral:rRNA from 1 species